CCUUUGAAAAAGGUGAACCUAACCUAACCCACGGCGCGCGCAGUGUCAGCAGCAGAAGCAAAGCGAAGGACUUUACUCUCUCCCUCUCUCUCUCUCUCGCUCUCAGCUGCUUCGCCUUUCUUCUCCGUCGCGGAGAGCUUCCGUGGAAGUAGUGCGCGUCGAGUACACGUGGAUGAGAGAAGAGAGGAGCCAACGCGUCAUAAUAUAGGACACCAUUGAUCGGCGCGCGACUCUGAUGCGAGCGAGACGCAGUUAACGGUGUAUGCUGCUGCAGCUAAUAUAAUAUGUAAUACUUCUAUCCGGCAAAGGCUGUGCGGUGGCGUUCGCGUAACCAUAUUAUACACCGAGGACACGAGCUCGCGUUCAGUGCACUAGCAGGAGAUUGCCAUUAAUAAUUCAAAGCGCGGAAAAGAGAAGAAAUCGCGGCGUGCCUUCGAUAUCGGAGCACGGUACUAUCAGCUAAUAAAAAAACAAGUGUAUAGAUAAAUGAGGUGACAAGGUAUAAUUAUAGCCCAAAUCUUAUAUAAUCCGAGCACACACGUUAGCCUUGAAAAUGCAGGCGCGUAAUGUGUACAAGAGCAUCGCUAUAAGUACUACCGCGUCUCGAGAACUUGUUGAAUGCACGCAGGAGAAAUGAAGCUGAAUCGAUCAUUACCUUCAAACGUAUCGCACAGAUCACUAUAUACACAGAUGACGUAUUAUUGUAUCUAUCGCUGCAAGCAGGAUCCUAACAGCACAUCGUCCACAGGAGGAUCACUCCGCGGAAGAUCGGAGUCAGCCUGAUGGCGGAGAACCUCGCUUUCAAAGGCCCGAUCGACGACUGCGCUGGCUGAUGCGUGGUCGGUGCCCGGUGGUAGAGCGCGCGGGCUCGAGAGCAUCGGCGGCAGCGGCGGCGGCGGCGGCGGCGGCGGCGGCUGCUGCUGAGUGACGCACCACGUGGCCGCCCGCUAACUGAGAAUGUCUCGCGCGAGCGGCGGGAGUUUACCUAUAGGUAUAUACACACACGUAAUGGUUGGGACCUUACGACUUACGUGUACCAGCAGACGCGGAUGUAUACAUUACGCGAAGGGCUUGUUAUUCAUCUCUCGGCCGCAGGCGCGUGACAACGGACGCCAAUUAAAAAUAAAGGGCAAUAGGGAGAAGAACGAAGUGGCUCGGGGCGAUAAACGAGUUUAGCUUUGAGCCGGGUAACGAGAGGCUCAAAAGCACUAGCCGCACUCGUACACGAGAGCCACCCCUCUUACUCCUGCAGCUCGGCACGAGUCACGCGCUGUCCCUUUUAGUAUCAAAGCGUACUUAGCACUGCAGCUAUAUAUGUAAUAUGUAUACGUGUAAUGUUCACACACACACACGCUCGCAAACAAAAGUGUAUCGCGCGCACAGUGUUUACCUCGAGCUCUGCAUUGUACUUCAGCCUGCAGUGUACUAUAGCGGCAGUUCGUUUCUCAGCAAGGCGGCGAACAAAGUGCAACGGCGACGCUUCCGCUCAUUCUUCGUUAAUUCCGUCUAUCCUGUAUACUAUUCGCGAUUGCUAGCGCAGUAUACAACUGAUGGUGACAAUUGGCGCCCACUCGCGAAAAACGCCUAUACAUAUCCGAGAGAUGCGCCGCGCACGCGAUCAUACUCCCGUCCCCACGCCUCUUCUCUGCUGUUAAUUAGCUGCAGCGAUGACGACGAACGCGACGCGCACGCGAAAGAGAGAGAGAGAGAGAGAGAGAGAGAGAGAGAGAUGAUGCGCUUGCUGCAGCUGCACUUGGUCCGCAAAUUGAGGGUAAACUAGCGCUCUCUCGGCGGAGUCACGGUUCGCCGGGCGGACAAUGCGAGGCUCGAUCCGCCAGAGCGUGGGUGGAGGAUAUAUGCGAAUGAAGCUGCACUUCGCGGCUUUACGGGAACACGUAUUAUAGGUUUUUUGGCUUUUCAGCUUUAUAUUGCUAUUGGGGAAAAGGAGAUUUUCGAGGCUGGUAUUUCGAGCCGAUUGUUUGGCUGUGUAGUUGAAAGGAGAUUAUGGUUUAUAGUUGUUGGAGAAUUUCGGUGCGGAAAGUGAGAGUAUAUUCUGUUUGUCAGAGAAAAGUCUAGUGCAGUUAUUUGCUUUACUGCGCGGAGAUCAAAGGCGGCUUACAUAUCUAGUUUGCGUUAUGUGCGGCCGCUAAAAGUUUACGCGAUUGUGAUUAAAAUAAAAUAUUAUUCCUCCUUUGCUACACAGGCUGAUAUUCAGUUAUUUUGUAACUAUAAAAUUCUUAUUACCGAUUUAUCAAAGUAAAGGCAAACAUUUACUGUCCAGCAAUAAAUUACAAACGAUCAGUUGUUGUAGUCGGUAAAAAAAUAAGUAGCAAAAACUUUUUGUCAAUCAUUCUUCGACCAAACUUUUGCCACUUCGAACCAAAAACAAGCGUUAUUUAUCGACCGAUAAGCAAUAAUCGAUAGAUUUAUUAUUUGACAUUAAUAGAUGAGUAGCAAAAAAACUUUUAUUCAGUCUGACACUGUGUUCAAUUAGAGCUAUGCGCAUUUUUUGCGAUUGGUAAUAUAAUACUGGAAUCAAAGUCGAUUGAGGAAAAAACUCGCGAGUCCAACGGGUCGCAUCUGUUAUGUAGUCGAACGCUAAAUUUUUCUGCUGUUGCAUAAUCGAAGAGUCAUGUGCGAUUGUGAUCUGAAACACGCUUCUUUCACGGAUAAAACUCGUCGAUGCAUAACCAGUUAGGAUUCUCAUAGUAUGCAUAAUAGAAUCACGCGACUGUUAAAUCUAUAAUCUUCAAAGUGCCGCACACUCGCAUUCUUCCAUUGAAAUUGCAUCUAUAUCUACGUUUCGCAGGUUUAUUACUUGAAAAUACGCGCGUGGAGACCAUCGCAAAAUAAUAUCACAAUACAUUUCUUGGUGUAAGCACACUCAUCAUAUCGCCCAGGUUAUCGUUCGUGAUAAAUCGCAAUGAAUUUUAAUGCAAAUUCAAAGUAUGUCGAUCAAUUAUCGGGCACAUCAGAUACGCUUUUAGUCCCAAAUCAAGGUCUGAGAUAAAAAAAACGCCUCAUUGAAAAAUCAAUCAAUUUAAUAUACAAUUGCAUCUAAUCAGUUUUAUCUUAAGAGAAAUGUAUUCAUUAACAAUCGCAAGCUCUCAGUUUCAAUGGCAAUUUUUUUUACGUGAUAUAACGACGUGUAAGUAUAUCAAAGCGCUUCGAAGUACUCGAGAAACUUUGCUCUCUCGUUCCAAGAGCAAAGAAUUUACCCAAGACGAGACGUCCUCAGUUUAUUUCCGUCCCGAGAGCUACGACUACGGCGACUACGACGACGACGACCAAAGUGUCUCAUCACCGCUUAGCUUCAGUUAAGAUUAGAUUCUCGCAGAGGUACUGUUUUCUCCAGACAGCGUUCAACGCAUAAUAGAAAAAAAGGAGGAGACCGUCGCAUGCUGCACUGUGCAAUACGCCAGGCGUAGACUUUAACCCGGGAAAUCUAUAUAGGUUUCUCGGCGCGCGCGCGACGAUGCGUCCGUCUUUUUGGAUUCGCGCUGGCGCUCGGCUGGACCAAUCGCGCCCCGGCUUUUCCCAGGUGGGGGACGUGGCGUGAUCCGCGAUGACGUCGUCUCUUUCUCUCUCUCUCUCUCUCACACACUCUGCCUCGCUUUGUAUGCGCUCUCCAUGCUCCGAAUUCAAUCAAUAAAAUUGCACCAGGAGCUCGCUGAGCGCAAGCUUUCCGCCCCUUUAUACAUUCUCUUUCUCGCGUGCGAUCCCUGUACAAUGUAUACAUGCGUUCGAUUCCACUUAUCGACGGUUCUUUCUUCUCGCGCCCUUUUUUUGGAGUCUCCGAUGCCGAGCUUUUGCAGGGUGAAUUACUUCCUGCGCAUGUAGCUGAGGGCUGUUGCCUUUGUUAUUUGUAUGCCAUUGUUAAGUUUGGCGCCGUUAAGAUCGAUUAAAAAGUGCGUGGAAUUGAAAUUUUGAGUCGUUGACAAGGGUAUCUACUAUACCGACGAAGCGAUGUAUCAGUCACGGAUAAAUUAUAUGUGAUGCCACUGUCUUGUAAUAAUACUGCGAAACAAAAAAAAAUCAUUAAAGAAUAAUGUGAUAACAGAAUAGUAUUUUAAGCCUGAUGAAUAAAAAAUUGAAUUCCAAACGCCCGAUCCACUUUGCACUCUUCUGAGCGCAUCGUAAGAAUCGAAAAUAAAUAAAGAUCGUUUACAAAA